rnacentral:tRNA from 1 species
GCCUGGGUGGCUCAGUGGUUUAGCACCUGGCUUCUGCCCAGGACAUUAUCCUGGUGUCUUGGGAUCGAGUCCCACGUCGGGCU